UUCACUGGGAGGUGCGUUCUAGCCUGGUAGUGUCUCACUGAGAGGUGCGUUCUAGCCUGGUAGUGUCUCAUUAGGAGGUACGUUCUAGCCUGGUAGUGUUUCACUGGGAGGUUCGUUCUAGCCUGGUAGUGUCUCACUGGGAGGUACGUUCUAGCCUGGUAGUGUCUCACUGGGAGGUACGUUCUAGCCUGGUAGUGUCUCACUGGGAGGUACGUUCUAGCCUGGUAGUGUCUCACUGGGAGGUACGUUCUAGCCUGGUAGUGUCUCACUGGGAGGUACGUUCUAGCCUGGUAGUGUCUCACUGGGAGGUACGUUCUAGCCUGGUAGUGUCUCACUGGGAGGUACGUUCUAGCCUGGUAGUGUCUCACUGGGAGGUACGUUCUAGCCUGGUAGUGUCUCACUGGGAGGUACGUUCUAGCCUGGUAGUGUCUCACUGGGAGGUACGUUCUAGCCUGGUAGUGUCUCACUGGGAGGUACGUUCUAGCCUGGUAGUGUCUCACUGGGAGGUACGUUCUAGCCUGGUAGUGUCUCACUGGGAGGUACGUUCUAGCCUGGUAGUGUCUCACUGGGAGGUACGUUCUAGCCUGGUAGUGUCUCACUGGGAGGUACGUUCUAGCCUGGUAGUGUCUCACUGGGAGGUACGUUCUAGCCUGGUAGUGUCUCACUGGGAGGUACGUUCUAGCCUGGUAGUGUCUCACUGGGAGGUACG